UACGGGGGGGGCAAGCGUUGUUCGGAAUUACUGGGUGUAAAGGGCUCGUAGGCGGCCAACUAAGUCAGACGUGAAAUCCCUCGGCUUAACCGGGGAAUGGCGUCUGAUACUGGAUGGCUUGAAUCCGGGAGAGGGAUGCGGAAUUCCAGGUGUAGCGGUGAAAUGCGUAGAUAUCUGGAGGAACACCGGUGGCGAAGGCGGCAUCCUGGACCGGCAUUGACGCUGAGGAGCGAAAGCCAGGGGAGCAAACGGG
rnacentral:rRNA from 1 species